rnacentral:rRNA from 1 species
GUUGAACGCUGGCGGCAUGCCUUACACAUGCAAGUCGAACGGUAACAGGUCGUCGGUGGCUCACGAGUGGCGGACGGGGGAGGAAUACAACGGAACGGGCCCGAUCGUUGGGGGUAAGGAGUCGCAAGCGGAGCUAGGACCUCAUACGAGCUACGGUAUAGAGCGGGGGAGCUCCGUACUGCGCGCGGGCGUUGCUGCCGAUGGCAGAUUAGGUAGUUGGGGGGAUAAAAGCUUACCAAGCCGACGAUCUGUAGCUGGUCUGAGAGGAUGAUCAGCCACACUGGGACUGAGACACGGCCCAGACUCCUACGGGAGGCAGCAGUGGGGAAUUUUGGACAAUGGGCGAAAGCCUGAUCCAGCCAUGCCGCGUGAAGGAUGAAGGCCUUCGGGUUGUAAACUGCUUUUGUAAGGAAAGAAAAGCCUCUUUCUAAUCAAGAGGCGUCAUGACGGUACCGUAAGAAUAAGCCCCGGCUAACUACGUG